GUGGGCAGGAACCCACAGGCUGGAGAGUGGAAGCACUUGUGCUCAGAGACCUCUUGGAGCGAGCCACAGCCUGUUUCCCUCCCCACCCCUGAUGUCACUUGGCCUUUUGAUCCCUCCCAGAGAGAAUUUGCAGUGAAGGUCACUGUCUCAGCACCUUGACCAUGUUAAACUGUUAAACUGAAGCCAGACAAUGGGAGGUGAGAAAAUGAAGGUUUUACAACAAAGAGGCAUCUAGAAGCAUACACUUCACCAGGCUAUCUUCAGUAAUGAAAAUGGAAUUGAAGCUUAUUUUUCCCGUUUGCAUGAUGUCCCACGUGGAGUAUCUACACCCCUCUUGGCCCCAGCACUGGUCUGCUUUCAACUCAGAAAUUCAUGAUCACUCUGCAAGUGGCUAGGCCAAAGGUCAGCGUGAACAGGAGAAAUCAGCUUUUGGAGAAAAAGGACAAUGUUGAUGGAUUUUUUUUCUUCUUCUUCCCAGACUGACUCUGCCUUGCCUACCCACAAACUCCUGUGUUAAUUUCAGUCCACAAUGUGUUUUAUUUUUAUUUCUAUAUUUAAUGUUCCGAUGCAUAUUUUACAGAAAUGCCUUCUGUGUGUAGCUAUGAAUAGUGUAAGCAUUUCAGUUAUUCCAGGCUUGGGGAAGAGCACGUACCUGAAUGUAUGUGAGGGCUGAGUUACAGAUAACUCUUAGACAAAUGUGGCUUUUAUUACCACUAACUACACAGAGUAACUUCAACAAAACAUUACAAAGUAGAAGUCCUUAAGGGAACCCUUAAUAAUAAGCCAUGUGACUACUCUGGUAUUAGCAUAUAGAUUGGAUGUAUGGAAGAGCUUGGAAAGGGCCAAGGUUCCCUGAAAAAUGGUUUAUUCUGUGUCUAAAAAUUGUACAUAAGGCUGAAAUGGCACGUUUAAAGCACCAUAUCUUAUCUGCCCAUAAAUACAGCACUUGCAAAGCAAAAGUAAACAUAAGCUAAGCCUGUGAACAAAUUAUUGAAAGGUUUUAAGUGUGCUGGGACCAUAGUCACUAUAUGUCACCACGUGUGCAUACAUAACUUAAAGCGUAGGUAGGCAGUUGUUUGCCCCUACAUCUCUGACUAGGGGGAGGGGAACUUGCGCUAAUGAGUCAGGAUCCUGUUUACACUAUUAAUCCCCUAAGCAAUUGCUCAUUUAAAGACAUUCCGUUUUUGGGGUUUCCAUUCAUUAAAUCCAUUUGCAGCGUAUGCAGACUUUCAAUUUUCCAGCCAUUUUUCAUAAGCCAAAUUCAAAUAGACCCGUGUCAUAAUGCCUCUCAUUAAGGCGCUGGCCUUUGCUUUUAAAAGGCGUCUCAGAACAGCUAUGUACAUAAAAGUUGCUAACUCAAAUGCCCCUGUAUUUUAGAAAAGUCAACCUAUUAAACGUUACUAUGUGAAACGUUCUCUCUGUGAUGGAAAGUAUACGCAUGCUGAACACGUGUCUAAUUCCUAAUGUUUCAAUAAGUUCCAUUUAUUCUGGGUGUUUCUUUCCCCUGCUUUGACUAUGCAAUUCUAUUUUUAACUGCCACUAUGCCUUCAGGAUUUUAGGUAAGCUCUCAGGGUACAAAAGAGUUUGAUGAAUUCUUUGCAAAUCUCACACGUGCUUAAAAUGUAUUUCAAUCAUCUCCAACCUCCCCUCCCCACAACAGCCCACUCCGCCCCUGCCCCCCGUUCCCAACUUCAUGUACUUAUUUUUAAUUCUGUAGACUCAUAUGUAGAGGAAAGAGACAGGAGAGAGGUAGGGAGGGAUGCAGAGGUUUAGCAAAUGGGGACUUUAGAUUUAAAAUAAUAAUAUUAUUAUUAUUAAUAAGGAAGCCCACAACACUAGAAUGGAUAUAUUUAGACCCUUACCUCAACCUCAACCUUCUUUAAAAAUAAAAUAACCCACUGAGUACGACUUGUACUGCCCAUAUACUCCUGGGCAUGGAGCCAUCUCCAUGGUUGACCUACUUGGGGCCACACCCUUAAAGAAAACUGACUCUCCCUCCCCCUAGAAGCCAUGAACUCUCUCAGCCAGAGGUGGGGAAGCCCUUGUGAGCCUUCCCAGCCCCUUGCUGACUGGUUUGAUGGUGGGCAGGUAGUCACAGCUGCUGUGAACUCAUGGAUUGCAGCUAUCCUGUUGUAACAGAACCUCAGACUGUAGCACAACUGACGCCAUGAUGGAAGUCCCAUUCGGGCCGUAGAACUCAGUGAGUAGACAGCACCAUCUGCCAAAAGGACAACAAAGGCCUAAUCCAUCAAAGUCCAUAAUUCUGAAGAAGUCUCUAAAUGUACUAACCUUGCCUUUUGGUUUCCACCCCUUGUUAACCAAAAUAUGUCAACCCAGAACGUGAUUUUGUGCUUAAAAGCUCGCCCUGGGAAAGGAUCAGUGCCUCACCAAGCAUAGUCUCCCAGCUAACACUUUCUAUUGUCUUAAACUCAUGUCGUAGCCGUCUCCUCUGGUGACUGCCCCACAGCACUAGCAUGUCCAGAAGACCUGUCUCUUCUCUGUUCCUCCCUACCCUCCGACUCUUACAACCUUCCCACCCCACCUUCCUUCACGAUUCAUAAAAGGUGCAUUUAGCAGACCAAUCUUAUCUACCUGGUUUAGAGACAUAAAAAUGUGGAGCCAAAUUCUUCUAAUUCUAGUGCUGAAAGGUGAGCUCUAAUAGUUGGGGGCAUUUUAAAGGGUAGAGUUUCCAGAGAGCUCCUGAAUAUUUGACUGAGAAAUUGAGAGAUAGGUCCCAUAAUCAGUUUACACUACAGAAAUGGUUCUGUCCACCCUCACAUGGAAUCUUGAAAGACAUACUUAAGGGACGAGAGUAGAAUUGCUUAAGCAGGGGAAAUAGCACGUGGGAUUGAGGCAGGGUCUGCAAGGUGCCCAGGAGCAGCACUCGGAGUGUGAGAGGCUAGAAAUGAACACUAAGAGGAAAACAGCUUUGAAUGCCCUGGGAAACAAUGCCUAACAAGGCUAUCUCUAGGCAGCUAUCAGAUACCUGUCUAGUUCAGUGUGUGCCUAGGCUUGCUACAAGGUACCUAGAUGUAGUCCUCUUUGCGAGGAAGACAUACAAAGCAGAAUCCGGACGUAUUUGGGUUCAAACUCCAACCUAGGAAUAUAUGCAAAUCAAAAGGGAUAUAUAAGUCACCCUUAUUUUUUUUUUCCUGUUGCUAUAAAACUACAUCCUGUGAAAAACAGGUUAAGGGAGGGAGGCUUUAAUUUGACUGACAGUUCAAGGUACAGCCCAUGCUGGUGGUCUACUAAGGAGAGUGGGAGCUUGAAGCGGCUGGCCACAGGGCAUCACAAGCAGGAAACAGCUGGGAAGGAUACAAUCUAGUACUCAGUACGCACUCUCUCUACAUUACACAGACCAAGGUUCCUGCUCUGUUCACAACAACUAUAGGUCUUCCCCACAUCAAUUCAUGGAAUCUAGAUAGUCUCCAACAGGCAUGCCUACAGGCACCCACACCCCCAGCUCGUUUUAGGUCCUGUCAAGUUGACAAUUAACGCUAGCCAUCCCGCAACCCAAAUGGGAAAAUAAAGAAGAGAGAGGUGGAAAGAAAUGGUACCCUAAAAUGAAGACAAGUGUUACAGUAGCUUCACUCUGGUUGGUCCUGAAGGACAGGCAUCAAUAGUUACCCUCUUAACACAGGAUUACACUGAAGGUCUGAAAAAGGAAAGAAAGUUGAAUAUCCUGGAAAACUCAUGCGUUAUAAAGGAAAAUAGGUUUUGUUCAAUUAACUUCCCUUCUUUUAAGCAAUAUCCUAUGUGAAACUUAAUAGCAAUGGUUUCCUAAAAAGAUACAAGUUCCUCUCUUGCUGGAAUCACCCGAAAGAAGCAUUUUCUCUCACUUAGAGAGAGCACUUGUGUUACCAUUUGUAUAAAUUUUUAAUACUGAAUAAAAUAUUAGUGUUUAGCUUAAUAUUGAUUCUAAGCAUAAUAUCCCUCCAUAAUGGCACACUAAUUGGUUAGAAUUAAAUCAGACAGAUUCAAGAACCCUGAGACUGUACCCAGUAACACUUGUAAUUUUUUUUCAUUAGUUUCCAGAAUUCCAAUUAAAAUGGAAUUAAUCUGCUGAAUAAAAGAUCACGGGACAGUACAAGCUCAGUGUGGUGUGUCUGUGUCAUGUAAGGCCACUUCUUGCCACUCCUCCAUCUUCACUUUAGAGUACAGGAGGAGGAGGGGAGAGGGGAAGGGGAAAGGAGCAAUGAAAUUAAUAUGUGAAUUUCAUGCACAGAGUAAGAAACCCUGAAAACAGAGGAAGUCAAAUACAUCAAGCAAUCCAUACGCAUCGAGAUGGAACCCCUGCGCAGAGGCAGAAUACAUACAUGGAAGGAGUUUCCUGGAUUAAGGUGGCCUAUUGAAUUGGGGUUAUCUACAAGCAGUGAGGCAGUGUGCAUGCACUGAGGUGGUCUACUGUAUUGAGGCAGUCUAUAUGCACAAAUGCAAUAUGCAUGCAUUAAGGAGAUCUAAUGUGUUGAAGCAACCCUCAUGCACUGUGGUGGUCUGCAUUGAAAUCAUCCCCGGGCCUUAAGUUGGUCUACGGUCAUUGAGUUCUCUAGCUUACCAUCACGCUAUCUUAGACAUCUUCCUUAGACUUCCCAGAGCCACAGUGAUCCCUUCAGUGAUGUUAGGCCACUAGCAGUACUUCCCAAAGACCUUGAGGAAGCAAACCAGUUCUCAGUGAGUGGGUGUCUUUGGUCCCAAGUAAUAAUUCAUAAGGACUAGAAUUUGGGCUGUGACUAUAUAUACAACUGGUAGCUAGUGAGUGCAAGCCUCGGGUGCUGCUAAUAUCCUUAGACAGUCUUAGCUGGGGUUUUACUGCUGUGAGCAGACACCAUGACUC
rnacentral:sRNA from 1 species